GGCCACUUAUGGUAAAUCAAUCAUACAUAAUGUAGCAGAAACCAUUACUGAAUUCCUUAUUUAUGUUGAAAUUUCUUUCCUACAAUCAAAUAUGAAAUUACCAUAUAAAAAAAAUGGCUUUUAAAUAAGGCAUUAUCAGAUUGACUAAGUGUGUAUGGUCUUCUUUUUUCUUGUUUUGUCUAGCAAGAAUGCACGCCAAACCAUCAGGGAACCAACAGAAGCAGAUUGCAGAAUGAUCUCCUCCUCCAGGAUCAAAACCUGUUGAUUAGAGAAUGAAGGAUGUUAAAUCAACUGAGCAUUCCACAAAAGCUUGCUUAUAUAGACUCUUUAAUGAUGGAGUGAACCCUUGGCCAUGUCUCGUCUGCAAAUUUGAUGCAGGAGUUUGUAGAACAACCACCUCUGAACCCAUCGCAGAUGCUGGCUUCAUUAGGGACUUUCAUGCAUCAGGUCAGGAAUUUACGUCUUCUCAGGAAUAAUGCAGGAGGACAAGGACUUUUUCGAUCAACCACCCACCACCACCUCCACUACCGAGAUGCCUAUACUACUAAAAUGUGACCUCUGCAUACACUUUUCCACGCAUAAGGGUACUGUCCCUGUCUAUACGCUUAACAUCAUCAAUUCACUGGAAGAAUUGCAGCUGCAGAUCAUCAAGGUUCUCAUCCCUGCUCCUCUGUUUGCCUUCUGGAAUUAGAGGGUCUAUUGAUGAUCCGAGCCAUCAACCUAUUGGAGAUGAAACAAAGAUACAGGCCUUGACCUCAAACUUGUAAAUUAUUCUUGUUUUUAUCUUAUUUUUCUCCUCUAGUUCUAUAGGAAAACUCUUAGUUGCACUAUAAAUUAUUUUCUAUACUCAAUCAAUCAGAAAUUAAAAAAAAUAAAUAUAUAUUGUAUUGUAUAAGAUGAUAAUCAUUUGUAAAUAAUUAAUUAAGAUACAUAGGUAUCAAAAGAAAAUAUAAAUAAAAUGAAUUAAAAUAUAACACCUCACAACAGCAACACCCAUCAAAACAAGCAAACAAUCCCAAACAAAAGCAAAAUCCCAUUCAAUUUCAUGCUUAUGAUGUCCAAAUAUAACGAAAUAGAUCCCGAAUCCACCUUAUCAUCGUCGCUUACAUCUUGAGGAUGAUCGAAAUUGGCUGGUACAAUAGUAUCUGGUACGGAAUCAGCACCAUUGACAUCAGGACUAUUUGGCGCCGGAGCCUGAUCCUCAGGACUUUUGAGACUUUCCGGCAAACCUUGACCGUGAGUGACAUUAAUUUGGAAACGUUGACCACUCUUGCAUUGAUCACCAUCAUAAUCUCCAGAGAAGAAAUAAGUGAUUCCUUCCUUUAAUAGAGGAACAGCCACAGUGACUCCAUGAGUGUCAGUGUUUGAAGGAUCAGUGGCUGACCAUUCUAUGGUAUCAUUGUCUACAGCAUUGUCAUAAUCACACAACUUGUAUGUUGUCAAAUUGUAGGUUUGAACAACAGAAUGAUUGUUAUUGGUGUUGAAAAUGAGGAAAUCUCCCAAUCCGAAGUUCUUGGAAUCAGCCCAUUUCUGGUAAUUUACAGUAGGCUUUUCAGUAUUGUCAUACCAACCCAAGGAAUCACCCACUGUGUAGUUUUUGUAAGCUUCAACAGAUCCUGAAACACAAAGAAGACAAUACAAGGGAAGAAGUACAGAGCCUGCUAAUCUUCUGUAUCUUGUCUGUUCCAUCGAUUUCUCGAGGUGUGUGAUCUUUGUAGAUAUGGAAAACUCUGGAUUUUUCCUAUUCUGAGGAAUAAAGGCAAUGGCAAUGGAACUGUUAUAUGCCUCUACUUUUAUAUCUAAAAUUCAG
rnacentral:misc_RNA from 1 species